AUGACUCGAUUUCUAGAAGAAUUUGAAAAUAAUCUGGAAAGAGAGAAAAUGGGUGGACAUCUAAGGCUGUUGAACAUUGCAUGUGCAGCUAAAGCAAAACGAAGAUUGAUGACACUAACAAAGCCAUCCAGGGAGGCCCCUCUGCCCUUCAUCUUACUGGGAGGCUCUGAAAAGGGCUUUGGCAUCUUUGUGGACAGUGUUGAUUCCAGCAGCAAAGCAACUGAGGCAGGCUUGAAGCGUGGGGAUCAGGUAAGAGGGCUCACCUCUGGGUAUAAGUAUGAAUUUCAGUGAUGACAUUGACAUUAACUUUUAUAACUCCACUUUUAGAUAUUAGAAGUAAAUGGUCAAAAUUUUGAAAAUAUCCAGCUUUCAAAGGCAAUGGAAAUUCUUAGAAAUAACACACACCUGUCCAUCACUGUGAAAACCAACUUAUUUGGUAAGUGUUUGCAAAUUCAGACUGCUUUUGUUUUAUGUAAAAGGAGUUCUUAAUUGGUCUAAGUAAUACAAACCUGGAGUCAGAUAUAAAGGAAAAUGCUGAGAGAUCAGGGAGAAGAAGUAGCAAGCCAAAGCCAUCUUU
rnacentral:lncRNA from 1 species